rnacentral:rRNA from 1 species
CUACGGGGGGCUGCAGUGGGGAAUAUUGGACAAUGGGGGAAACCCUGAUCCAGCAAUGCCGCGUGUGUGAAGAAGGCCUGCGGGUUGUAAAGCACUUUCGGUUGGGAGGACUGCUUCUAGCACUAAUAUUGUUGGAAGUUGACGUUACCUUCAGAAGAAGCACCGGCUAGCUCCGUGCCAGCAGGCCGCGGUAAUACGGAGGGUGCAAGCGUUAAUCGGAAUUACUGGGCGUAAAGCGCGCGUAGGCGGCUAGAUCAGUCGGGUGUGAAAGCCCCGGGCUUAACCUGGGAACUGCAUCCGAUACUGUCUAGCUUGAGUACAGGAGAGGAGAGUGGAAUUCCACAUGUAGCGGUGAAAUGCGUAGAUAUGUGGAGGAACACCAAUGGCGAAGGCAGCUCUCUGGCCUGAUACUGACGCUGAGGUGCGAAAGCGUGGGGAGCAAACAGGAUUAGAUACCCUAGUAGUC